ensembl:lncRNA
CUAUUAGGAAAUUGGAAUAAAACUUGUGACCAACUCUGAGGUGAAGAAACCAGCCGCCUGUUUGUACCCUCAAUAUCAGCAUUCUGAUAUGGAAUAUGAUGUGAAAUAUAUGCUAUAUGAUGCAGUUGUUCAAGGAUCCGACUCAUCAACUCACUUGAAGCCCAUGAAAAAAAAACGGGAAAAAAUUAAAACUGUGAGAAGCUACUUCCCUGACACCUGGAUCUGGGAGCUGAUCCCUGUCGGAGACAGCGGGUCGGUGAGCGUGGUGAAGACGCUCCCUGACACCAUCACCAGCUGGCGGGCCCAGGCCUUCUGCACCUCCUCCUCCCUGGGCCGGCCUGUCCCGGGACACGGCGCUGGUGGCCUUCCAGCCCUUCUUCGUCAGCCUGACGCUGCCCUACUCGGUGGUCCGAGGGGAGGUGUUCACGCUCAGAGCCACCGUCUUCAACUACCUCCCUAGCUGCAUCAUGGUGGGCCUCUCCGUGCUGCGUGUCCCCCGGCCGGUGGGCUGAGGGGAGACGAGGACGCUCUCCAUUCAUUAGAAGCUACUCAGAAAGGAAGAGAUCCUCUUUACACCUCUUGCAUCCAAGAAUUUCAACGCAUUGUGUAUAGUAUCAUGUAGUGUAGUAUUAUGAAGUAUAGGAUGUAGUGUAGUUUGUAGUAUAGUAUGUAGCAUAGUAUGUAGUAUAGUAUGCAGUAUAGUAUUAAGUUGUGUGGUAUGAAGUAUGGGAUAUAAUGUAGUGUACUGUGGUAU